UUAAGCGACUAAGCGUACACGGUGGAUGCCCUGGCAGUCAGAGGCGAUGAAGGACGUGCUAAUCUGCGAUAAGCGUCGGUAAGGUGAUAUGAACCGUUAUAACCGGCGAUUUCCGAAUGGGGAAACCCAGUGUGAUUCGUCACACUAUCAUUAACUGAAUCCAUAGGUUAAUGAGGCGAACCGGGGGAACUGAAACAUCUAAGUACCCCGAGGAAAAGAAAUCAACCGAGAUUCCCCCAGUAGCGGCGAGCGAACGGGGAGCAGCCCAGAGCCUGAAUCAGCAUGUGUGUUAGUGGAAGCGUCUGGAAAGGCGCGCGAUACAGGGUGACAGCCCCGUACACAAAAAUGCACAUACUGUGAGCUCGAUGAGUAGGGCGGGACACGUGGUAUCCUGUCUGAAUAUGGGGGGACCAUCCUCCAAGGCUAAAUACUCCUGACUGACCGAUAGUGAACCAGUACCGUGAGGGAAAGGCGAAAAGAACCCCGGCGAGGGGAGUGAAAAAGAACCUGAAACCGUGUACGUACAAGCAGUGGGAGCACAGAGCAAUCUGUGUGACUGCGUACCUUUUGUAUAAUGGGUCAGCGACUUAUAUUCUGUAGCAAGGUUAACCGAAUAGGGGAGCCGAAGGGAAACCGAGUCUUAACUGGGCGUUAAGUUGCAGGGUAUAGACCCGAAACCCGGUGAUCUAGCCAUGGGCAGGUUGAAGGUUGGGUAACACUAACUGGAGGACCGAACCGACUAAUGUUGAAAAAUUAGCGGAUGACUUGUGGCUGGGGGUGAAAGGCCAAUCAAACCGGGAGAUAGCUGGUUCUCCCCGAAAGCUAUUUAGGUAGCGCCUCGUGAAUUCAUCUCCGGGGGUAGAGCACUGUUUCGGCAAGGGGGUCAUCCCGACUUACCAACCCGAUGCAAACUGCGAAUACCGGAGAAUGUUAUCACGGGAGACACACGGCGGGUGCUAACGUCCGUCGUGAAGAGGGAAACAACCCAGACCGCCAGCUAAGGUCCCAAAGUCAUGGUUAAGUGGGAAACGAUGUGGGAAGGCCCAGACAGCCAGGAUGUUGGCUUAGAAGCAGCCAUCAUUUAAAGAAAGCGUAAUAGCUCACUGGUCGAGUCGGCCUGCGCGGAAGAUGUAACGGGGCUAAACCAUGCACCGAAGCUGCGGCAGCGACGCUGAUGCGUUGUUGGGUAGGGGAGCGUUCUGUAAGCCUGCGAAGGUGUGCUGUGAGGCAUGCUGGAGGUAUCAGAAGUGCGAAUGCUGACAUAAGUAACGAUAAAGCGGGUGAAAAGCCCGCUCGCCGGAAGACCAAGGGUUCCUGUCCAACGUUAAUCGGGGCAGGGUGAGUCGACCCCUAAGGCGAGGCCGAAAGGCGUAGUCGAUGGGAAACAGGUUAAUAUUCCUGUACUUGGUGUUACUGCGAAGGGGGGACGGAGAAGGCUAUGUUGGCCGGGCGACGGUUGUCCCGGUUUAAGCGUGUAGGCUGGUUUUCCAGGCAAAUCCGGAAAAUCAAGGCUGAGGCGUGAUGACGAGGCACUACGGUGCUGAAGCAACAAAUGCCCUGCUUCCAGGAAAAGCCUCUAAGCAUCAGGUAACAUCAAAUCGUACCCCAAACCGACACAGGUGGUCAGGUAGAGAAUACCAAGGCGCUUGAGAGAACUCGGGUGAAGGAACUAGGCAAAAUGGUGCCGUAACUUCGGGAGAAGGCACGCUGAUAUGUAGGUGAAGCGACUUGCUCGUGGAGCUGAAAUCAGUCGAAGAUACCAGCUGGCUGCAACUGUUUAUUAAAAACACAGCACUGUGCAAACACGAAAGUGGACGUAUACGGUGUGACGCCUGCCCGGUGCCGGAAGGUUAAUUGAUGGGGUCAGCGCAAGCGAAGCUCUUGAUCGAAGCCCCGGUAAACGGCGGCCGUAACUAUAACGGUCCUAAGGUAGCGAAAUUCCUUGUCGGGUAAGUUCCGACCUGCACGAAAGGCGCAACGACUUGGGCGCUGUCUCGACCAUGGACCCGGUGAAAUUGCACUGGUCGUGAAGAUGCGACUUACCCGCGGAAGGACGGAAAGACCCCGUGAACCUUCACUGCAGCUUGGCAUUGGCCGCUGGUCCCGCGUGUAGAGGAUAGGCAGGAGGCUAAGAUCCGGAGGCGCCAGCCCCCGGGGAGCCGCCCUUGGAAUACUGCCCUCGCGCGACCGGCGUCCUAACCCGAGGCCGUCAACCGGCUCGGGGACCGUGCCAGGCGGGCAGUUUGACUGGGGCGGUCGCCUCCUAAAGGGUAACGGAGGCGCGCGAAGGUCCGCUCGGGACGGUCGGCAACCGUCCUUUUGAAUGCAAGAGUACAAGCGGGCUUGACUGCGAGGCCCACAAGCCGAGCAGGUGCGAAAGCAGGCUCUAGUGAUCCGGCGGCCCCGAGUGGGUGGGCCGUCGCUCAACGGAUAAAAGGUACUCCGGGGAUAACAGGCUGAUCUUGCCCAAGAGUCCACAUCGACGGCAAGGUUUGGCACCUCGAUGUCGGCUCAUCGCAUCCUGGGGCUGAAGUAGGUCCCAAG
rnacentral:rRNA from 1 species